rnacentral:rRNA from 1 species
UACAGAGGCCUCAAGCGUUGUUCGGAUUCAUUGGGCGUAAAGGGUGCGUAGGUGGCGAGGCAAGUCUGGUGUGAAAUCCCGGGGCUCAACCCCGGAACUGCACUGGAUACUGCCUUGCUUGAGCACUGGAGAGGGAACUGGAAUUUACGGUGUAGCAGUGAAAUGCGUAGAUAUUCGCAAGAACACCAGUGGCGAAGGCGGCUCACUGGCCCGAUACUGACGCUGAGGCACGAAAGCGUGGGGAGCAAACAGG